GUGCAGGUUUAGGGUAACUGUAAUGUUUAAAUUGCAGAAUUAAGACUGUCUCUAGAGGCGAUACCUGCACUUUCACUGAGUUUGACUCAGUGAAACCACUCUGGAUGUCCUCACACUCUGCAGCCAGCACCAGGGCAUCCAUCAGCAAUCCUUUCCUACCGGGAAUGCCUAAUACACUCUCCACUUGCGCAUUAUGUCUCCCCAAUCGGACGACAUUCGAGGAGGACUGUGCCGAAGGAUUUCGGCGCUGUAUUAAGUGAAUAAACAUUUAUUUAAUCCUUUCAUCGCUGG